rnacentral:SRP_RNA from 1 species
GCCAGUUGUGGUAGUAUGUGCCUGUAGUCCCAGCUACUUGGGAGGCUGAGAUGGGAGUACAGCCUGAGCCCAGGAGAUCUGGACUGGGCUUAGCGGGUGUCUGUACUAAGUUCCCCAUCAAUAUGGUGACCUUUUGGAACUGAGGACCACCAGGUUGCCUAAAAAGGGAUGAACCAGUCCAGGUUGGACAUGGAGCAGGUCGAAACUCCUCUGCUGGUCAGUAGUGGGAUCACACUUGUGAAUAGCCACUGCAUUCCAGCCUGGGCAACAUUGUGAGACCCACCCCCCCCAUCUCU